GAGUUUGAUCAUGGCCAGGAUCAACGCUGGCGGCGUGCCUAAUGCAUGCAAGUCGAGCGGGGUGGUUUUCGGACCACUUACGCGGCGGACGGGUGCGGAACACGUGGGCAACCUGCCCUGAGGUGGGGGAUAGCCGGUGGAAACACCGGGUAAUUCCGCAUGAGGUCACUGGCCGGAGGGCUAGUGAGGAAAGGCUCGUAAGAGUCGCCUUGGGAGGGGCCUGCGGCCGAUUAGCUAGACGGUGGGGUAACGGCCUACCGUGGCGAUGAUCGGUAGCUGGUCUGAGAGGACGGCCAGCCACACGGGGACUGAGACACGGCCCCGACUCCUACGGGAGGCAGCAGCAAGGAAUCUUCCGCAAUGGGCGAAAGCCUGACGGAGCAACGCCGCGUGUGGGAUGACGCCUUUCGGGGUGUAAACCACUUUUCUCAGGGAAGAAGCACUGACGGUACCUGAGGAAGAAGGACCGGCUAACUACGUGCCAGCAGCGCGG
rnacentral:rRNA from 1 species